rnacentral:rRNA from 1 species
GACGAACGCUGGCGGCGUGCUUAACACAUGCAAGUCGAACGGAAAGGCCCUGCUUUUGUGGGGUGCUCGAGUGGCGAACGGGUGAGUAACACGUGAGUAACCUGUCCUUGACUUUGGGAUAACUUCAGGAAACUGGGGCUAAUACCGGAUAGGAGCUCCUGCUGCAUGGUGGGGGUUGGAAAGUUUCGGCGGUUGGGGAUGGACUCGCGGCUUAUCAGCUUGUUGGUGGGGUAGUGGCUUACCAAGGCUUUGACGGGUAGCCGGCCUGAGAGGGUGACCGGCCACAUUGGGACUGAGAUACGGACCAGACUCCUACGGGAGGCAGCAGUGGGGAAUAUUGCGCAAUGGGCGGAAGCCUGAUGCAGCAACGCCGCGUGCGGGAUGACGGCCUUCGGGUUGUAAACCGCUUUCGCCUGUGACGAAGCGUGAGUGACGGUAAUGGGUAAAGAAGCACCGGCUAACUACGUG